CAACUUCUUCCCGCAAUUUACCUUCAUGGUUAAACAAUAAAUCAGCUAAGGUAUGGACACUGUAACUACUCUGAAGGCAAGUUGCGAGAGGAAGUUUC
rnacentral:miRNA from 1 species